rnacentral:lncRNA from 1 species
UCCUCUUUUUCUUUCUUCGCGGCGACGGCUGUUCGCAGGUUUUUGACCCGGUUUUCCGUUGAUUCUACGAAGGAGCUCUCUGCCGAGAGUGUCUCACACAAUGCAUCGACGCCUCGUGUUCUCCCUCUCUUUGGUAUAGAACAGCUGUGCGCAAGAACUCUCGAAUCGAAACUUUCCAUACUUUUCGUUAUAGCCUUAGUUUUUCGCUGAUAUACCAGCUGGCGAUUUCAAAAUUACAAGUGCCGUUACUUUUCCGGUUUUCGCGCUAGUGUUCUUUGAAUUCGCGGUUUCUUCCUUGAUUUUUGCUGGCUAUUUCGGUCGUUUGAGAGGCGGGAUGACGAGGAGAAAAAGAGUGCAGUAGUGUUUUCAGGAAAGCCCUGCCUCGUACACAACAUACAGGGGGAAAUCUGUAUAGCAGAGAGAAAAACAACAAGACGACAUCAUCAGGAGUGAAGGCACGUACACGUACACCACAAAGACAGCUACAAAGGAAAACACGCGGGGGAGAUAGGGGCCGGGAUGAAAAAAAAGGAGUUGAAAGGUUGCCUCUACUACGCGCUUAUCACCACCUGAAGUACAACGUGUCCCUUAUAUUUAUCAUACCCGAAAGCUCUGCCUGCGCUUCAAUUAUUAUUCAGCUCUCCCCCCUCGAUUCGCGCGUGCUUAAGGACGAGCGCCUCGUCACGGAAAUAGAAAAUCGUUGCUCAACGACUGUACGCUCGCGGAAAACUCUAUUUAUUUAUAAUGCAUAAUUCUGGCGACAUGUAUAAGCUCAAGUGUGUCAUGGCGGCGGCUUUAGAAUUUCCACACGCGACGAUCUAUAAAUAAAAAGAGAGGAGCUGCUUCCGAAACUUUGUCCGGCUUUAACGGCGUCUAGAUCUGUGCGUGUGUACUGCGCACACAGGUGUUGUUCACCUCUCACGCUUUUGUGGACACACUUAUCGCGCUGCGGUUGUUUGUUGUGCCGACGCUGUUAUCUCUAUCGCGGUGUUCUGCUGCAGCUCCUCUCUCUGUAUUGUAAAACGUGCACUGCAGUGGUGUACACCUGACGACGACGCAGAUUCAGCUCUACAUGCCGUGAAGUGCAAUCGAGAAUCUGUGGGACGUAAAUAGUCGCUGCUACUCUCGAGGCGUUCCGCGCGCGCGCAGGAAGGCCCCUCGAGACGUUAAUUCGUUCGCUCUUUGUUGUUUUUCUUUUUCUUUGCUAAAGUCUCUCUCCAUAUACGAGGUUAUGUACGCAGAUACUGGGAGCCCGAACGUCGAAGAAGGAAGAAGCCAAAUCGGCGUUUCUCAAUCGGGCAGAGACUCGAGUACAGCCGCACCGAGGCGAAAAUCGAUCGAAUGUAUUAUCGUGUAUACAUAUACCACACUUAGUUAUAGCUGAGCAUAAUCCCGUUAGCGCCUCUCUCGUCAACCGCAGCAGCAGCACUAUUAUGCUUCGAAAGUUUUUAACUGUAUAAAUGCCCUCUCGGCGGCGUUGCGUAACAGCCGACGACGCGAUUGCAAAGUCGCCGGAAUUUAUAAUCGCGCUCGGAUCUCUGUGUAAGUAUGUAUAGCUGUUGUAUAACGAAGAGAGACACACGUGUCGCUCGAUGUGUCAUCUGCCUUUCUUUUUAACCUGUGCCCAGGAAUUUGAGUAAAAUUGUACAAAAUCGUAAGUUUAAGAAACGAUUCAAUAAAUUUUUAACGUCACCUCAAAAGUCAGGCAGUUACAGCAUGAGUGGACCAAGUACAACAGGCCUAAUGAGGCUGUUUUGGCAUUAGAGCUAUUCACUGCUAUAUCUAGACUUGGCCUGCCUAAUUCCGACGAGGGAAAUGGAAAAGUGCCAAUGCGCCACCUAUCUGCGCUGGCCAGAGAUACAACGGCGAGAACAGGGGCCAGUCCAAACCUGCCUUAUACAGAUCGAAAAUGCUACCUGUAAUGUGCCUAUAUAGCCAAUUUUUAUUUGCUCGUCCAAGUUUUUGCUAAUUUUCUUAAAACACGGUAGAAAAGGUUCGAAAGCCACGCAUUAAACAGUUUAGUUAUUCUGGAGCCUCUGAAAUUGUAUUUUGUUUUCAGAUUUUGUAUAAGCUAUGUAUCAAUUUGUAAUCCAUUUGUAAUAAACUAAAUCAAUGAUUA